AGCUUUGCGCAGUGGCGAUAUCGUAACCAAUGAGGUUUUACCGAGGUGCGAUUAUUGCUAGUUGAAAAAAAAACGUAUCUUAUCAUAGAAAUAUAAUUCAAUGGAAAACCAACCUUUCGUUUUUGAGUAGUGACAUUUCAA